rfam:Aedes aegypti strain Liverpool supercont1.497 genomic scaffold, whole genome shotgun sequence.
GGUUCGGUAACAUAGUUGGUAAAGCGCUCGUCUAGCAUACAAGAGUCCUGGGUUCGAAUCCCAGCCAUAAUA